rnacentral:rRNA from 1 species
AGACCUUCGGGUCUAGUGGCGCACGGGUGCGUAACGCGUGGGAAUCUACCCUUUGCUACGGAAUAACUCAGAGAAAUUUGUGCUAAUACCGUAUGAUGUCGAAAGACCAAAGAUUUAUCGGCAAAGGACGAGCCCGCGUAGGAUUAGCUAGUUGGUGUGGUAAAGGCGCACCAAGGCGACGAUCCUUAGCUGGUCUGAGAGGAUGAUCAGCCACACUGGGACUGAGACACGGCCCAGACUCCUACGGGAGGCAGCAGUGGGGAAUAUUGGACAAUGGGCGAAAGCCUGAUCCAGCAAUGCCGCGUGAGUGAUGAAGGCCUUAGGGUUGUAAAGCUCUUUUACCAGGGAUGAUAAUGACAGUACCUGGAGAAUAAGCUCCGGCUAACUCCGUGCCAGCAGCCGCGGUAAUACGGAGGGAGCUAGCGUUGUUCGGAAUUACUGGGCGUAAAGCGUACGUAGGCGGUUAUUCAAGUCAGGGGUGAAAGCCUGGAGCUCAACUCCAGAACUGCCCUUGAAACUAGAUAACUAGAAUCUUGGAGAGGUGAGUGGAAUUCCGAGUGUAGAGGUGAAAUUCGUAGAUAUUCGGAAGAACACCAGUGGCGAAGGCGACUCACUGGACAAGUAUUGACGCUGAGGUACGAAAGCGUGGGGAGCANACAGGAUUAGAUACCCUGGUAGUCCACGCCGUANACGAUGAUAACUAGCUGUUCGGGCUCUACGAGCUUGAGUGGCGCAGCUAACGCAUUAAGUUAUCCCGCCUGGGGAGUACGGUCGCAAG